GAUGAACGCUUGACAGAAUGCUUAACACAUGCAAGUCAACUUGAACUUCGGUUUGGGUCGCCCGUGGCGAAAGACUGCCUCACAGUAGGGACAGCAUUUGGAAACGAAUGCUAAUACCUGAUAUUAUGAUUUUAGGGCAUCCUAGGAUUAUGAAAGCUAUAUGCGCUGUGAGAGAGCUUUGCGUCCCAUUAGCUAGUUGGAGAGGUAACGGCUCACCAAGGCGAUGAUGGGUAGCCGGCCUGAGAGGGUGAUCGGCCACAAGGGGACUGAGACACGGCCCUUACUCCUACGGGAGGCAGCAGUGGGGAAUAUUGGACAAUGGACCAAGAGUCUGAUCCAGCAAUUCUGUGUGCACGAUGAAGUUUUUCGGAAUGUAAAGUGCUUUCAGUUGGAAGAAAAAAAUGACGGUACCACAGAGAAG
rnacentral:rRNA from 1 species